rnacentral:rRNA from 1 species
GAGUUUGAUCCUGGCUCAGAACGAACGCUGGCGGCAGGCCUAACACAUGCAAGUCGAGCGCGCCUUUCGGGGUGAGCGGCGGACGGGUUAGUAACGCGUGGGAAUAUACCCUUUUCUACGGAAUAGCCUCUGGAAACGGAGAGUAAUACCGUAUGAGCCCUUCGGGGGAAAGAUUUAUCGGGAAAGGAUUAGCCCGCGUUAGAUUAGGUAGUUGGUGGGGUAAUGGCCUACCAAGCCUACGAUCUAUAGCUGGUUUUAGGGGAUGAUCAGCAACACUGGGACUGAGACACGGCCCAGACUCCUACGGGAGGCAGCAGUGGGGAAUCUUGGACAAUGGGGGCAACCCUGAUCCAGCCAUGCCGCGUGAGUGAUGAAGGCCUUAGGGUCGUAAAGCUCUUUCGCCUGUGAAGAUAAUGACGGUAGCAGGUAAAGAAACCCCGGCUAACUCCGUGCCAGCAGCCGCGGUAAUACGGAGGGGGUUAGCGUUGUUCGGAAUUACUGGGCGUAAAGCGCACGUAGGCGGACCAGAAAGUUGGGGGUGAAAUCCCGGGGCUCAACCCCGGAACUGCCUCCAAAACUAUUGGUCUAGAGUUCGAGAGAGGUGAGUGGAAUUCCAAGUGUAGAGGUGAAAUUCGUAGAUAUUUGGAGGAACACCAGUGGCGAAGGCGGCUCACUGGCUCGAUACUGACGCUGAGGUGCGGAAGUGUGGGGAGCAAACAGGAUUAGAUACCCUGGUAGUC